rnacentral:rRNA from 1 species
GAUCCUGGCUUAGGAUUAACGCUGGCGGCGUGCCUAAUACAUGCAAGUCGAAUGGUAGUAGCAAUACAAACCAUGGCGAACGGGUGAGUAACACGUAGGUAACCUGUCUUUAAGACGAGGAUAACCGUUGGAAACGACGGAUAAUACUGGAUAGGACAUUAAAUGGGGCAUCCCAAAAUGUUUAAAGAUUAUUAGUGUCACUUAGAGAGGGGCCUGCGGCGCAUUAGCUAGUUGGUGAGAUAACAGCCCACCAAGGCGAUGAUGCGUAGCCGGACUGAGAGGUUGAACGGCCACAAUGGGACUGAGAACGGCCCAUACUCCUACGGGAGGCAGCAGUAGGGAAUUUUCGGCAAUGGGCGCAAGCCUUAGACCGAGCAACGCCGCGUGAACGAAGAAGUUAUUCGUAAUGUAAAGUUCUUUUAUCUGGGAAGAAAAAACAAAUUGACGGUACCAGAUGAAUAAGCUCCGGCUAACUACGUGCCAGCAGCCGC